AGAGUUUGAUCCUGGCUCAGGAUGAACGCUAGCGGCAGGCCUAACACAUGCAAGUCGCGGGGCAGCACGGGUAGCAAUACCUGGUGGCGACCGGCGCACGGGUGCGUAACGCGUAUGCAACCUGCCCCCAUCAGGGGAAUAGCCCGCCGAAAGGCGGAUUAAUGCCCCAUAGGCCCAGGGCGCCGCAUGGCGCUAUGGGUAAAGCUCCGGCGGAUGGGGAUGGGCAUGCGUGCCAUUAGCUAGUUGGGGCGGUAACGGCGCACCAAGGCGACGAUGGCUAGGGGGUCUGAGAGGAUGGUCCCCCACACUGGUACUGAGACACGGACCAGACUCCUACGGGAGGCAGCAGUGGGGAAUAUUGGGCAAUGGAGGAAAAACCUCUUACCCAGCAGUGCCGCGUGAGUGAAGAAGGUCUUCGGAUUGUAAAGCUCUUUGAUUGGGGACGAAGAAAGUGACGGUACCCAAAGAACAAGCCCCGGCUAACUACGUGCCAGCAGCCGC
rnacentral:rRNA from 1 species